rnacentral:rRNA from 1 species
AGAACGAACGCUGGCGGCAUGCCUAAUACAUGCAAGUCGAACGAGAUCUUCGGGUCUAGUGGCGCACGGGUGCGUAACGCGUGGGAAUCUACCCUUGGGUUCGGAAUAACAGUUGGAAACGACUGCUAAUACCGGAUGAUGACGAAAGUCCAAAGAUUUAUCGACCCAGGGAUGAGCCCGCGUAGGAUUAGCUAGUUGGUGAGGGUAAAGGCUACACCAGGGCUACGAUCCUUAGCUGGUCUGAGUAGAUGAUCACGCCACGACGUACGGGUACUAGGACGACCGACGG